rnacentral:lncRNA from 1 species
CACUUCUGAGUCGUUUUUGGAUCUGCUCCUCUGUUUCUAUACCCUUGUAUAACCAAUUGGGCAGAGAAUAAAUCAAUGAUGUCAUAUAGUUAUAUGGUUAAGAACUAAAUAAACCAUCACAUGAGCCUAGCUAAACACUACAUUUCACCUUCAUCUAUCUCUCUGAAAUCUGAAGCAGAAAAUGCAUCAAAAAGCCCACAACAAUUCCACCAUGUUGCCAGUUUUCCUUAAGCAAUCACCGCCACCAUCCUCGUACCUCUGUUUUCUAUGUACCUGAAAGGCAAAAAUCAUACAUAAAGCUAUUAGAUACAGAAGUUUGAGACCUGUAAGAGCUACUGAAUGGAACUCAAAUCUAAAAGAGAAGCCCAUGGUAUCAGAUUCUACUUCUAUCUGGCUCGUUUCCUGCACUGCUCCUCCCUUGACGUACCUGCAGACGAGCAAUGUCGACGGCACCACGUACAGGCUGGGCUGUUUGUGAAGCGAUGUCGCCGAUGGAGU